rnacentral:ncRNA from 1 species
AUAACAUAAUUCCGAGUUUUUGUUUCUAAAACAACGUUCUGUCACGAAGCAAUGACCAGUGGGUUCUGUGGGAAACUGCACAGCCUCCCGUGUUUGGAAAGGGAUUGUAUU